GCUGUGCAGCAGUAGUGGGGUAACAGGUGACAUGCUCCCCACGAUGGGAAAUCUGAAUUGUUUUUUCUACAGAGAUUUCCUUUUGGAGAGCAUCAAGGACUCCCAACAGUGAGGUGGAAGACUCUCCAGCUCCCACUGAGGGCCAGCUUGAAGAGCUUCCUAGCUGGAGUGUAGAAGAAGCCCCAACCCUCUCCAAGGUGGAUGCAGAAGGGAACAAAAAGGUCCCACCCCUUUUAUUUUAUAAAGAUUUACUUUCAUAGGCCUACUGUGACCAAAG